rnacentral:rRNA from 1 species
AGAGUUUGAUCAUGGCUCAGGAUGAACGCUAGCGGCAGGCCUAAUACAUGCAAGUCGAGGGGUAAGGUCUCUUUCGGGAGAUACACGACCGGCGCACGGGUGCGUAACGCGUAUGCAACCUACCUUUAACAGAGAGAUAGCCCCGAGAAAUCGGGAUUAAUAUCACAUAACAUUAUGAUAUGGCAUCAUAUUAUAAUUAAAACUCCGGUGGUUAAAGAUGGGCAUGCGUGACAUUAGCUAGUUGGUGAGGUAACUGCUCACCAAGGCUACGAUGUCUAGGGGGUCUGAGAGGAUGAUCCCCCACACUGGUACUGAGACACGGACCAGACUCCUACGGGAGGCAGCAGUAAGGAAUAUUGCGCAAUGGAGGCAACUCUGACGCAGCCAUGCCGCGUGAAGGAAGAAGGCCUUAUGGGUCGUAAACUUCUUUUAUUUAGGAAUAAUCCCUCGUUCGUGAACGAGGUUGAAG